UACGGGGGGGGCAAGCGUUGUUCGGAAUUACUGGGCGUAAAGGGCGUGUAGGCGGCCAACUAAGUCCGACGUGAAAUCCCCAGGCUUAACCUGGGAACUGCGUCGGAUACUGGAUGGCUUGAGUUUGGGAGAGGGACGCGGAAUUCCAGGUGUAGCGGUGAAAUGCGCAGAUAUCAGGAGGAACACCGAUGGCGAAGGCAGGUCUCUGGGCCACUACUGACGCUGAGAAGCGAAAGCAUGGGGAGCGAACAGG
rnacentral:rRNA from 1 species